ACGAACGCUGGCGGCGUGCUUAACACAUGCACGUCGAACGGAAAGGCCCUGCUUUUGUGGGGUGCUCGAGUGGCGAACGGGUGAGUAACACGUGAGUAACCUGCCCUUGACUUUGGGAUAACUUCAGGAAACUGGGGCUAAUACCGGAUAGGAGCUCCUGCUGCAUGGUGGGGGUUGGAAAGUUUCGGCGGUUGGGGAUGGACUCGCGGCUUAUCAGCUUGUUAGUGGGGUAGUGGCUUACCAAGGCUUUGACGGGUAGCCGGCCUGAGAGGGUGACCGGCCACAAUGGGACUGAGAGAGGGCCCAGACUCCUACGGGAGGCAGCAGUGGGGAAUAUUGCACAAUGGGCGGGAGCCUGAUGCAGCAACGCCGCGUGCGGGAUGACGGCCUUCGGGUUGUAAACCGCUUUCGCCUGUGACGAAGCGUGAGUGACGGUAAUGGGUAAAGAAGCACCGGCUAACUACGUG
rnacentral:rRNA from 1 species